UACGUAGGGUGCGAGCGUUAAUCGGAAUUACUGGGCGUAAAGCGUGCGCAGGCGGUUCGUUGCGUCGGCGGUGAAAGCCCCGGGCUUAACCUGGGAAUGGCCGUCGAAACUGGCGAACUGGAGUGUGGCAGAGGGGGGUGGAAUUCCGCGUGUAGCAGUGAAAUGCGUAGAGAUGUGGAGGAACACCGAUGGCGAAGGCAGCCCCCUGGGCCAACACUGACGCUCAGGCACGAAAGCGUGGGGAGCAAACAGG
rnacentral:rRNA from 1 species